rnacentral:lncRNA from 1 species
AGAUCCUCUUUUCAUUUCCUAGAAGCAAGAAGGGAGCCAGAAGCCCAGUUCUCAGGAGGUAUUUUCUAUUCUCCUCUGACCCCAUAUGAAUAUAUGGCUCUUUCUUCCCUUUCUUUACAGCAUCUCUUCAGCCUCAGCACAGGGGUUGGGAGGUCUACACUGUUUUACAUUUAAUUCUCUUACUAACAUACUACCUCCCAACAUUGAAAUAUAGAUUUUUUCCCCUAGUUUGAAAGUCUUGCAUAAAUAGAAGCUUAAUACAUUCAAUAUCUAUUAAUAAGGAUUAACUUGGAGUUUAGUUUAAAAGGUUGAACUAGCUUGGUUAAUUAUUUCCCAAUGUAGGACAGAAUAUGUUAAACUGUUUUCAACCUUUCAAUAAUUUCAGAAUUGAAAACAAAGGUGCUUUGGUGUCAAAGACAGAUGAGCUAUUACUCUGGGGAAGAAGGGAAGUAAAGGGAUUAAUAUGAGUGUGUCUGUGAUCCAUUGUAAUGAAUGUUUUAGUUCUGUAUGACGGGUGAUGUAUACAUGGGUGUUUUAUUUUUUUUCUUUAUACCUUUCUGUAAGCCUCAAACGUUUCAUUACAAAAAUGACUUAAAGAAGGCAAAUAGUUUGAAAAUAGAAUUUCCAAAUCUUUAUAGUAGGAGAUCCAAUAAUGCUACUACUAAAUCCCAUACUUAAGCCUUUAAGAUUUCAUUCUCAUUUUACUGAAAAACUUUAAUAAUAAUAUGCUUAUUUUAAAGAUUUUUAUUUUCUUCUUGCUCACCAUUUUUGAUGCCCUUGAUUUCAGGUCUGUGCUAGGGCAUAUUAGAAAGAGCUUGGUUUUGGCAUCAAACAUACUUGAGCCUAAAUCUCAGUUGUACAACCUCCAGAUUGUGGGGCUUUAAAUGACUUGAUAUUUCUAAGUGUCAGUUUCUUCUCUUAUAAAAAUAGAAUAUUAUUACAUUCAGUAAUCUUGGGAUUAUCACAAAGAUUAAAUGAAAUAAGAAAUGGGAACACAUUUGCUAUAGCAUCUGGUAUAUAGUAGAUUUUCAAUUAAUAUCACUUUCCUUAUCUUUCCACUUUUCACCACUACCUGAGAUCGCAACUCCAAAAAGGUAUAAAAAAGAAAGAAAAAUGAACCUAAGGAAGGAAGAAUGUAGGCAUAUAGGCAGAUAUAACGAAAACAUUUCAUUACUAACAAAGGCUUAUGCUAGAUCCAUACACAGCAUCCUUUACUCUGAUACUUCUCAUCUAAUCUCAUCAUUACUUACUUAAGUACAGGUGUUUUUGUUUUUGUUUUUGUUUCCUUUCAGUUUGUUUUGUUUUUGCCACUGGUCAUAGAACCUUCGCAGACAAAAUGUGUGGUACUCUAGGGCUUUUAUCUCUUUACUCCUUACUUUUUGUAAGACAGAUAUCCUUAUCGAAAUACUUUACUUUCAGUGGUGGGUGAAGCUUUAUGUUCUUAAAGAGUUUCUAGAGCUUUCGGUUGCAACUUUCAUUAAUGGCCAUUUCUCUAAGUUAAGAGACUGGGUUCUAGUCCCACCUCUGCCACAUGCUAACGGUUUAACCCACUAAGUAUUUACCUUUCUUUGUGUCUACUUUUUCAUAUGCUAAGUGGAUUAAAUGAUUCUUUGAGCUCUGAAAUUGUUAUAGUUCUUGAUAACUUAUUAACAUGUAGCAACCUUACAGGAAAUUAGGCAACACCAGCUUCAGUGGGAAGUACUGACCACAUAAUUGUGUGUCGUGUAUGAAAACUGUCCAUGUGCUGGUGGCUUCUUCUGAACUCCAAGAACAGGCUCUGGCACUGCCCUUGUCCAGGGAUUGCCAGCUUGGGGUCUUCUCAGGGAUUGAUGGAGGCAUUCCCAAGGGAGCCAGACUUGUCAGGAGGAGUUCAAAGGGAGCAAAAAAGAUGAACUCCUCAAAGGAAGAAUUUUUCUUUGCAUUUCUUCUUAAGGUGGGAGUGUAAAAUGGGAGUGGGUAUGUUAUACUUUUAUAGCUCAGUAAUUUUUUUUUUUUUUUAAGAUGAGGCUACCAGGAGAGAACAGAGAAGAAAAGACACUCUGAAAAAGGAAAAGAUGAGAGUUCUUAUGGAAAAAUGUGCCUUGGGAAAAAUUACAAUACUACAGCAAGGAGCACACAGGCCGCAUCUGUCCUGGGGCUCAUUUGUCCUUCUUCAACCUCCUCCACAGUUAGAGGCUCCUGAACUACAAUGGCAACGAUUGAAGAAACUGUUGUUGAAAAGUCCACGCCAAAUUCUCGGUAUGUCACUGAAGACAAGGACAUUUUGGGUAGAACCAGGCUGCUAAUCCACUCUUGCCAGGAGGGAAGAUUUUUUCUCUUUCUGUAGUGAGCAACAACGCCACUCGAUGAAGAAACUGAGGUUCAUGGAAGUUAAAUAACUUGCCCACAGGGCACAACUAGUAGGCAGCUAAGCUAGGACUUCAACUGAGGUCUGUAAGACUUAAAGCACAUGCUAUUCCUGCUCCUCAAUAGCUUUCCUGCUAAGCACCAAGAGACGCUAGGCUGCCAGGAACAUCACAGCAGAGACCACCGUCAAUCAAUGCAUCUCCACCGUCUUUUAGACAUUCUUUUGAAGAAAGAUUUAGCUGCUAAAAGAAAAGAUGAAUAUACAAAAAGGAUAAUACUACCAUAUUUCAUCAUAUUGUCUCGUUUUAAUACAAGAAGACUCAUCCAGCUUAAACAUUUGAUGUUUAAGAAGCUAACCAGCAAGCUGCCCUCUGGGAAUGCAUACCAUCAGGUAUGGAUCAGUGGCCCUGAGAUCAUGUUCAUAACUCAGCAGCUUUGUACAAGCUGUCAAGACUCAGAACAUGGUACCCCAAAGUAUGGCACCUUGGUGUGCUGAGUACUGUGGACUGAAGGACAUCGGAAAUGUCUCAGAAGCUAUGUCUCUUUGACCUUCUCCCAGCCUCCUGUCUCCUACCUGUCUUUCUCCCUUGAAGUGAGUCAUGGCAACCAUAAUUCCUCUUUCCCAAGGUGUGUCACAGAAACUAGAACCCCUCUCCUCCAAGGGAAGCCGUGAAACCUAGAAAGGUCACUCUCUGCCUUCCCCCUUCUCCCUUGAAGACCCUCAUUCCAGAGGGGCCCUGCCCCAUAUUCAGGAGGGUUACACAAAGAGGUUAAGAAGAAUUUGAACAUUCAGGCCUUGCUGGGUUCCCUGCUCAGUCUAUCAGCAUUAGAUCACACCCUUUAGUCCAUCACAUUUCUACACCGCUGUCCAUUCUUCAUCAAACCGAAGAAUAAAAAAAGUUUUCCCUGGGU